rnacentral:lncRNA from 1 species
GUGAAUGUAUUGGCAUUAAUCUCUGCAUUUGGAGCCUAAUAUCUAUAUACCGCUUGUUUAUCUCAAGAGUCGAAGUCAAUUUUAUUAUGGCUGUUGUUGCUUUAUAUCUUCAAAACAUUUGGGUGCAAAAGCUCAUUCUAAAUUUUCCAUCACCACGAAAGCUUCAAAACUCUCUGUUUGUCAAAUGCCUGCCUCCCACUUCUCAGAGCAGAGAGUUGUUCGAAGAAGCUAGGUCGGUCGACUUGUCGGUUUUGGAUGUUUGCUCCCUGUGAUCCAUACACUUAAAAAUUCUCCUCUUUUUUUGGUGUUUCGUAGGCACCGACGCGUAUCUUCAUCUGUCCCGGUUGGGGGAUUCGCAAGAGCCCUUGCCGUAGAGCAUGAAUGGUAAGCUUCCAUUUAUUUAUUAUCAUGUUCACUAGCUAGAUGCCUCCCUUGUUGCAUGCAUAAGUGCAUAAGGGAAAGGGGGGAGAAGGAUUUGUACAUUUGGUUUGUGUGUAGGAAAGAUGAUGAUUGAAAUGCUGCUUCACCUUGUAUUGUGGCAAGACUGCUUUGGUACCCAUUAGUGGUUCAAUUCAUGCUGCAACUGUUUCAAGAAGAAUUAACAGUUGUACAGGCUCACACACAGACUAGCUUUCUCUCUCUCUCUCAUUCACGAUUCUCUCUCACAUUCCCAGUUGCGCAUCUAUCUCUCUCUAAGUGAAAAAAGAAUAAAUAGUUGACAUUAGGAUUAUAUAUUAAUAAGAUUACUUUUAGGGCGCAUUUGGUUCAAGUUAUGUAAUAUUACAGAGUAUUUUGAUAUAUUCAGUUAUCUUAGAUUUCUAAAUAAAAUUACUACUUAUGCUGCAUCAGCGCGUUUGGUUUAAUACAGUAAUGUAAUGCUAGAUUGCAGUAUUUAUAGCAUUACUAUGUUUAGUUUUGUCUAUAAAAUUCAGUAAUCUAGACAAUAAAGUAGUAUAUUCUAUUCUAAAAUUAUAUUUAGCAAUAUUUUGCAAAUCUUUUUUUUACUAUUUACAAAUAAUAUUUUUUUUACUAAAUUUUAUUUUUUAUAGUUUAAUUUUUUAAAAUAUAAAAUUUAAAUUUGAACAAAAAUAUAAAUUUAAUAUUUUAAUUUAAAAUAUAAAUAUGAAAUCUAUAAAUUUAAAAUCUAAAAUAUGAAUAUAAAUAUAAAAAUAAAAAUAAAAAUAAAAUUAAAAUUAAAAAUACAAAUUUGAAUAUUAAAAUUUGAAAUUUUGAAAUUUAAAAUUUGAAAUUUAAAAUUUGAAAUUUAAAAUUCAAAUUUAAAAUUUAAAAUUUGAAGUUUAAAAUUUAAAAUUAAAAACUAAAAAAUUAAAAAUUUAGAAUUGAAAUUUAAAAUUUAGAAAUUUAAAAUCUAAAAUUUAAAUUCAAAUUUAAAAUUUAAAAUUUAAAUUUGAAGUUUAAAAAUUUAAAAAUUUAAAAUUUAAAAUUAAAAUUCAAAAUUUAAAAUUCAAAAGUUGACAAUUCAAAAUUUUAAAUUAAAAUUUUUAAAAUAACGUAUCGAAAGGGUUUCGGGAGUUAAGAGGGGUAAAAUUAUUAUUUUACAUAAUAGUCAGUGUUAUUGACUUUCAAUAAUUCAAAAUACACACCCAUCUCGCGUUAAUAUUUUUUGUACAGUUUUAUACCAUUUGUAAUGCUAUAUUACCGAUCUGAUUACAUACCGGAUGAACAAAAUACCGUAAUUCUACCGAGAUUGCUUGUAAUCCUGUCAAGAUAACUCGAACCAAACAUACCCUUAAUUCUUU